rnacentral:rRNA from 1 species
AACGAACGCUGGCGGCAUGCCUAACACAUGCAAGUCGAACGAAGCCUUCGGGCUUAGUGGCGCACGGGUGCGUAACGCGUGGGAAUCUGCCCUUUGGUUCGGAAUAACAGUUGGAAACGAGUGCUAAUACCGGAUGAUGACGAAAGUCCAAAGAUUUAUCGCCAGAGGAUGAGCCCGCGUAGGAUUAGCUAGUUGGUGUGGUAAGGGCGCACCAAGGCGACGAUCCUUAGCUGGUCUGAGAGGAUGAUCAGCCACACUGGGACUGAGACACGGCCCAGACUCCUACGGGAGGCAGCAGUGGGGAAUAUUGGACAAUGGGCGAAAGCCUGAUCCAGCAAUGCCGCGUGAGUGAUGAAGGCCCUAGGGUUGUAAAGCUCUUUUACCCGGGAUGAUAAUGACAGUACCGGGAGAAUAAGCCCCGGCUAACUCCGUGCCAGCAGCCGCCGUAA